rnacentral:lncRNA from 1 species
AUGGAGCCCAAUUCAUUGUGGACAAUGACCGCUGGGUCUGCUACUUGGAGUGCUGGACACGUUCGCCACCGCUCGGGCUGCUCUGGGGGACCGACAACAGCGGAGUCUGGGCAGAGACGCUCCCUCCUCGCCUCUCGCUGGAGCUGUGAGAAAAUGUGUGUUGGGGGACGGGGCGUGGGGACAUGGCCGCAAAGUUUAGGAAAGUGUCUCCCCUCCCCCCCAUCGCUUCCCCCUUCCCCACCCCCCAUGGCUCCGCUCAUCCGAGCAAAAGUAACAGACAGCCCUUGGAGCCGAAUGGCUCUGGCCGGCCCGGACCUUAGAACCUGCCGCGGGUUCUCCUGCCCCGCCGGAGAUGGGCUUUUCCCAGAGUGUUGUCUUUGGAAACCUUUUCAAAGAAAUUGCAAUUUGGGAGGAGGAGGGGGCUCCCUCCCCUCCCCCUCUCUGGCAUUUAUUAGCAUUUUGAAUCAACAAGCGUGGAAGGACAAGCAGAGCCGGGAGCUCCCAGCCGUUCCCAGGGGCCGGCUGAGACCCGCUGAUCCCCAGGAGGAGCAGCAGAAGUCGAAGCCUUUUGCAGAAGAGGAAGAAAACCAAACCACGGCCACCUCCGAUGGCUGCAGUUCUGCACCAGUCCCAGCCAGGGAAGAGGGAUGGAAAGAAGCAUGCCUAGUUCAGGGGAGAAAUAAAGAACAUUGGAACACGCAGGCUUUGAACUUAGCAUAG